rnacentral:rRNA from 1 species
AUUGAACGCUGGCGGCAUGCCUUACACAUGCAAGUCGAACGGCAGCACGGGUGCUUGCACCUGGUGGCGAGUGGCGAACGGGUGAGUAAUAUAUCGGAACGUACCUUAUUGUGGGGGAUAACGCAGCGAAAGCUGUGCUAAUACCGCAUAAUCCCUAAGGGGGAAAGCGGGGGACCGUAAGGCCUCGCGCAAUUAGAGCGGCCGAUACCUGAUUAGCUAGUUGGUGAGGUAAAGGCUCACCAAGGAAACGAUCAGUAGCUGGUCUGAGAGGACGAACAGCCACACUGGGACUGAGACACGGCCCAGACUCCUACGGGAGGCAGCAGUGGGGAAUUUUGGACAAUGGGGGCAACCCUGAUCCAGCAAUGCCGCGUGAGUGAAGAAGGCCUUCGGGUUGUAAAGCUCUUUUGUCAGGGAAGAAACAGCAGCUCUAACACAGUAUGCGAAUGACGGUACCUGAAGAAUAAGCACCGGCUAACUACGUGCCAGCAGCCGCCGUAA